rnacentral:rRNA from 1 species
CCUACGGGUGGCUGCAGUAAGGAAUAUUGGUCAAUGGAGGCAACUCUGAACCAGCCAUGCCGCGUGCAGGAAGACGGCCCUAUGGGUUGUAAACUGCUUUUGUACCAGAGAAAACCCGAGUACGUGUACUCGGUUGAUAGUACGGUAAGAAUAAGCAUCGGCUAACUUCGUGCCAGCAGCCGCGGUAAGACGAAGGAUGCAAGCGUUAUCCGGAUUCAAGGGUGUUAAGGGGGACGUGGACGGACCUGUAGAAAUCUCUCAGCUUAACUGAGAAACUGCCAUUGAUACUGCAGGUCUAGAGUAUAGAUGACGUUGGCGGAAUAUGACAUGUAGUGGUGAAAUACUUAGAUAUGUCAUAGAACACCGAUUGCGAAGGCAGCUAACGAAACUAUAACUGACGCUGAGGCACGAAAGUGCGGGGAUCAAACAGGAUUAGAUACCCCUGUAGUC